rnacentral:rRNA from 1 species
UACGAAGGGUGCAAGCGUUACUCGGAAUUACUGGGCGUAAAGCGUGCGUAGGUGGUUUGUUAAGUCUGAUGUGAAAGCCCUGGGCUCAACCUGGGAAUUGCAUUGGAUACUGGCAGGCUUGAGUGUGGCAGAGGGGGGUGGAAUUCCACGUGUAGCAGUGAAAUGCGUAGAGAUGUGGAGGAACACCGAUGGCGAAGGCAGCCCCCUGGGCUAACACUGACGCUCAUGCACGAAAGCGUGGGGAGCAAACAGG